rnacentral:sRNA from 1 species
CACUAGCCCUGAUAGAAGCGGUAUCCUUUUUCUGGCUGCUGCCAGCCAGGAAAAGAUACAAGUGUAUAGCAGGAACCAGC